GCCUCGUUAGCUCAGUUGGUAGAGCGUUAGACUUUUAAUCUAACGGCCAGGGGUUCGAGUCCCCUACGGGGCU
rfam:Nippostrongylus brasiliensis genome assembly, scaffold: NBR_scaffold0003497